rnacentral:misc_RNA from 1 species
GAUGAAGAACGUAGUGAAAUGCGAUAAGUAAUGUGAAUUGCAGAAUUCAGUGAAUCAUCGAGUCUUUGAACGCACAUUGCGCCCCCUGGUAUUCCGGGGGGCAUGCCUGUCCGAGCGUCAUUGCCGCCCUCAAGCACGGCUUGUGUGUUGGGCCCCCGCCCCCCGGCUUCGGGGGGCGGGCCCGAAAGGCAGCGGCGGCACCGCGUCCGGUCCUCGAGCGUAUGGGGCUUCGUCACCCGCUCUGUAGGCCCGGCCGGCGCCCGCCGGCGACCCCAAUCAAUCUUUCCAGGUUGACCUCGGAUCAGGUAGGGAUACCCGCUGAACUUAAGCAUAUCAAUAAGCGGAGGA